UACAGAGGGGGCAAGCGUUGUUCGGAAUUACUGGGCGUAAAGGGCGCGUAGGCGGCCACCUAAGUCAGACGUGAAAUCCCUCGGCUCAACCGGGGAACUGCGUCUGAUACUGGAUGGCUUGAAUUCGGGAGAGGGAUGCAGAAUUCCAGGUGUAGCGGUGAAAUGCGUAGAUAUCUGGAGGAAUACCGGUGGCGAAGGCGGCAUCCUGGACCGAUAUUGACACUGAGGAGCGAAAGCCAGGGGAGCAAACGGG
rnacentral:rRNA from 1 species